rnacentral:rRNA from 1 species
AUGGUUACCGGCAACGGCGAAAACAGCUACGCCGCAAACUCCAGGCUCCAGGAGAAGGCCAUUUUGGAGACAAGUCCGGUGCUUCACAAGGCCAUAGAAGAGCUGUGCAAGUCGCUCUCAGCCCGACGGAGCACCAUGGUCGUCGCUGACCUCGGCUGCUCGUCGGGCCCGAACACUCUGCGUGUCGUCUGCGAGGUGAUCGGCGCGGUCCAGUUCUACACUCGGAAAUCGGAAGAAGAACGGCGCGCCGUGGAGGUGCAGUUCUUCUUGAAUGACCUGCCGGGGAAUGAUUUCAACAUCGUCUUCCGGUCACUGGAGCAACUGGAAGAUCUCGGCGGCAGAGAGACGCAGCCCUACUAUGUGGCGGGCCUGCCGGGAUCCUACUACAGGAAGCUUUUCCCUUCUCGGAGCGUCCAUUUCUUCCACUCGUCCUACUCCCUCAUGUGGCGCUCUAAGGUCCCCGAGGAACUCUCAAGGUGCACUCACGUGAACGAAGGCAACAUCUACAUUGGAAAGACUACCCCACCUAUUGUGAUUAAGCUGUUCCAACAACAAUUCAAAACAGACUUUGAGUUGUUCCUUGCACUGCGCUCUAGAGAGCUUGUCAACGGAGGCCGAAUGUUGCUAACAUUUCUUGGAAGAAAGAGUGAAGAGAUGAUGAUGCACGGGGAUGUUAGCACCUUAUUUGAAUUGGUUGCCAAAUCUCUCCAGUCUCUGGUCCUAAAGGGUCGUGUGGAGAAGGAGAAGCUGGACUCAUUCAACCUGCCAUACUACGCUCCAUCGGUGAAAGAGAUGAAGGCGUUGAUCAAUGAGAGUAAGCUCUUUGAUAUCGAGCAUGUUAGACUCUUCGAAUCGAACUGGGAUCCUCAAGACGACUCAGAAAGUGAUGUGGUACUAGACUGUGCUAGCAGCGGGGCAAAUGUGGCCAAGUGCAUAAGGGCCGUGUUGGAGCCACUGAUAGCAGACCACUUUGGAGAUGACAUUAUUGAGGAGCUAUUCGUGGUGUAUGCUUCUGUCGUUGCAACGCAUCUGGAGAAAGCGAAGGCAAAGUACCCCAUCAUCGUGGCAUCCUUGAAGAAGGCCAUGCAUUGA